rnacentral:rRNA from 1 species
UGUAAUUUAAAGAAGCGUUUUCGGUGNCAGCCUGGGUAUAAAUCCUUUGGAAUAGGGUAUCAUAGAGGGUGAGAAUCCCGUCUUUGANCUAGUGCAUGCUACUAUGUGAUACGUUUUCAAAGAGUCGAGUUGUUUGGGAAUGCAGCUCAAAAUGGGUGGGAAAUUUCAUCUAAAGCUAAAUAUUGGCGAGAGACCGAUAGCGAACAAGUACCGUGAGGGAAAGAUGAAAAGAACUUUGAAAAGAGAGNUAAACAGCGCGUGAAAUUGUUGAAAGGGAAACGUUUGACACCANCCAUGUGGGGNAAAAUCAGUCUUUUGCAUUGGG